AUGGAGCUGAGUCCCGGGCGUCGCCUGCGUUUCGCGCAGCCGCAGCUCUGUUGCCCAAGCGGCGGCGGCGGCGAACCGGAUCGCAUCAGCUCCCUCCCGCAGGAGCUCCUCCUCCUCAUUCUCGCCCUCAUGGGAUGCGCUGCCACGGCCGCGCGCACCAGCGUCCUCUCCCGUCGGUGGCGCGAUCUCUGGACGCAUCUCCGCCAGAUCGUCUUCCACAACCUCGCGCCGUCGAUUGCAGCGGCGGUCGGCCGUGUCCGUGGCCCCCCGGCCGCGGUCUCCCUCCUGGAAGUCCGCGUCCCCAACGCCAGCAGGCAUCCCUGGCCCGUCGGCGCCACGGCCAGCAGGCUGCUCCGCGCUGCCGUGCGGCUGCAGCCGGAGGAGAUCGUCCUCAUCUUCCCGUGGAGCGUCGAAUCUGAAGGCGGACCGAACCUCGUGCGGCUGCCGUGCUUCCAGCAGACCAAAUCUCUCAUGAUGGAAAGGCUUCUCUUCUACUGCCCCGACGGCGAGUUCACCGCGCUCCGGACGCUCUCCAUCUCCUACGGCCUGGGCGGCCUCCACAGCUUGCUCCCCCGAUGCCCGCACCUCCGCGUGCUCAGCCUGAAGUUUGUCAACGAUGGCUACGGACUUGUCCAGAAUGGGUUGAUCUCACUCCACUUGCCAUCGCUGCAGGAACUUUUCCUUGAAACCCGCAUACUACACACAGAUGCAGUCGACAUCGUCGCCCCUCUGCUGAAGCGACUGACGGUGUCUGUAGGCGCUUACAAGGUGGUCAGCAGCAUCUCCGUCUCGGCGCCAGUGCUGGAGAAGGUUUCGUGGGAGUGGUGGUAUUUCGAGGCCGGAAGCAUUGUUCAGUUUGGUCCUUGGAGACUCCAGAGGUUGUGGAUACACAGAGGAGAGAGACAGGGACAGCUUCUGUCGCUCCACAUUCAUGCAUCACAUAGCUGGUUUAUUUCCAAUCAAGACAACUUAGCGCAGGAGGUAGAGAAGCACAUGGUUGUUGAUUUCGCUCUUUUGGGGCUACGUCUCCUAAAAGCCGGACAUGUUUUUGGAGCACUGGUGUUUCAUCUCCUCGGGAUUAAUCGUAUUUCUAGAGGAGUACAGAGGCUUAAGAUCGUCCUAGAGAGAUCGCUGCUGAAAGGAGAAUGCCCGCCACACUGUCCAUGUGAACCCACAAACUGGAGAUCUCAAACUAUCUCCUCGACUGCUCUCGAAGAAGUGGAAAUCACUGGCUUCGAAGGACAGGAACACGAGUUUGAUUUGCUGGAAUUAAUACUCAAAUGUGCGCCAGUGCUUAAAAAAUGA
rnacentral:rRNA from 1 species